rnacentral:rRNA from 1 species
GCCAUCGGGGAUAGCCCUUUACACCAAUUCCCCAGGGAUCACUGAAGUUAAGCAACGUCGCGCGUGGUUAGUAUCCGGAAGGGUAACAUUUAGGUAAUCGCGUGCUGCUGGUU